rnacentral:rRNA from 1 species
GACGUAGGGGGCCAGCGUUGCUCGGAAUUACUGGGUGUAAAGGGUUCGUAGGCGGUGUGGCAAGUCGGGAGUGAAAUCUCUGGGCUCAACCCAGAGUCUGCUUCCGAAACUGCUGUGCUUGAGUGUGGGAGAGGCGCGUGGAAUUCCACGUGUAGCAGUGAAAUGCGUAGAGAUGUGGAGGAAUACCGAUGGCGAAGGCAGCCCCCUGGGCCAAUACUGACGCUCAUGCACGAAAGCGUGGGGAGCAAACAGG